rnacentral:rRNA from 1 species
GAUUAACGCUAGCGGCAGGCCUAAUACAUGCAAGUCGAACGGGAUUAUUGGUAGCAAUACUGAUAUGAGAGUGGCGCACGGGUGCGUAACGCGUAUGCAACCUACCUCUGACUGGGGGAUAGCCUUCCGAAGGAAGAUUAAUACCGCAUAAUACAAUGAAGUGGCAUCACUUUAUUGUCAAAACUACCGGUGGUUAGAGAUGGGCAUGCGUAAUAUUAGCAGUUGGUGAGGUAAAGGCUCACCAAGGCUACGAUAUUUAGGGGGUCGUGAGAGGAUGAUCCCCCACACUGGUACUGAGACACGGACCAGACUCCUACGGGAGGCAGCAGUAAGGAAUAUUGGACAAUGGUGGAAACACUGAUCCAGCCAUGCCGCGUGCAGGAUGAAUCGCCCUAUGGGUUGUAAACU